ensembl:lncRNA
GGACUAGACCAGAACUAGACCAGGACUAAACCAGGACUAGACCAGGACUAAACCAGGACUAGACCAGGACUAGACCAGGACUAGACCAGGACUAGACCAGGACUGAACCAGGACUAAACCAGGACUAGACCAGGACUAGACCAGGACUGAACCAGGACCAAACCAGGACCAGACCAGGACUAGACCAGGACUAAACCAGGACCAAACCAGGACUAGACCAGGACUAAACCAGGACUAAACCAGGUCUAAACCAGGACUAGACCAGGACUAGACCAGGACUAAACCAGGACUGAACCAGGACUAGACCAGGACUGAACCAGGACUAGACCAGGACUGAACCAGGACUAGACCAGGACUAGACCAGGACUAAACCAGGACUAGACCAGGACUAAACCAGGACUAAACCAGGACUAGACCAGGACUAGACCAGGACUAGACCAGAACUA